CGAGUUGAUGUCCGAGAGGGCAUAGCGCACUGCUCAGUAACACGUGGACAACCUGCCCUGAGGACUGGAAUAAUCCCGGGAAACUGGGGGUAAUUCCAGAUAAGCCAGGAUUUCUGGAAUGGGUUCUGGCAGAAAGGCUCCGGCGCCUCAGGAUGGGUCUGCGGCCUAUCAGGGUAGUAGUGGGUGUAACGUACCUACUAGCCUACGACGGGUACGGGUUGUGAGAGCAAGAGCCCGGAGAUGGAUUCUGAGACAUGAAUCCAGGCCCUACGGGGUGCAGCAGGCGCGAAAACUUUACAAUGCGGGCAACCGCGAUAAGGGGACCUCGAGUGCUGGGUUACAAACCUGGCUGUUGGGCUGCCUAAAAAGCAGUCUAUAGCAAGGGCCGGGCAAGACCGGUGCCAGCCGCCGCGGUAACACCGGCGGCUCGAGUGGUAACCGCUAUUAUUGGGUCUAAAGGGUCUGUAGCCUGCCGGCUAAGUCUCUUGGGAAAUCUGGCAUCUCAAGUGUCAGGCUGCCAGGGGAUACUGGUCGGCUUGGGACCGGGAGAGGUGAGAGGUACCUCAGGGGUAGGGGUGAAAUCUUGUAAUCCUUGAGGGACCACCAGUGGCGAAGGCGUCUCACCAGAACGGAUCCGACGGCAAGGGACGAAAGCUAGGGGCACGAACCGGAUUAGAUAC
rnacentral:rRNA from 1 species